AUUUAUUUUGUUGUUUAAUUUAUUUAUUUGUAUUCCUAAAGAUCUUGGCAUAAAAAUUUUGUCACCUCUAUUUUCUUUUAUUCAAUAUUAAGUAUAAUGGAUAGAAAUAUUUCAAUCUUUUUAAUGUACUUUAGAUAAUCACGCAAUAAUCACGUAUUGUACGCAUUUUCAAAGUCCAAAGAUCAAAUCAAGUGUCUGACCACCAGGAAAUAUUUCUAUGAAUGAUUUAAUGUAUUUUUGGAGUGUAUCCUUUUCAAAUUAUGUUUAUAUACAUAUAGCUUUUGAAAAUAAUCACAAAAGCUGAAUGGAACACAUGUAUUUAUUGUUGGUGAUAUAUUUUUUAUGCUCAAUUUCAUAUACAUCGACUUCAGAUAUAACGAUUUGUAAGGAUUCAAACGGAACACAAACUUGUUGUCAUGACUACAAGAAUAUUUCAGGAAAGUGCACAGCUUGCAUUGGUUCUUAUGGGAAGGGUUGUCCAAAUCCGUGUACGUACGGGUACUACGGCCAUGGAUGUCGCGAGCGGUGUGACUGCAGUGAAAAUCAGAUAUGUGAUAAAAGUAGAGGUUGUUUGGCUUUACAUAAUAAUCAUU